CGUAACAAGGUCUCCGUUGGUGAACCAGCGGAGGGAUCAUUGCUGGAACUGCGCCUCGGCGCACCCAGAAACCCUUUGUGAACUUAUACCUAUUUGUUGCCUCGGCGUAAGGCUGGGCCCCUCGGGGCCCCCCCAGUCCCUGGGGAGCAGGCCCGCCGGCGGCCAAGUAAACUCUUGUUUUUACCUGGAACUCUGAGUGAAAAAACAUAAAUGAAUCAAAACUUUCAACAACGGAUCUCUUGGUUCUGGCAUCGAUGAAGAACGCAGCGAAAUGCGAUAAGUAAUGUGAAUUGCAGAAUUCAGUGAAUCAUCGAAUCUUUGAACGCACAUUGCGCCCUCUGGUAUUCCGGAGGGCAUGCCUGUUCGAGCGUCAUUUCAACCCUCAAGCCUGGCUUGGUGAUGGGGCACUGCUUCUGACGAAGCAGGCCCUGAAAUUCAGUGGCGAGCUCGCCAGUACCCCGAGCGCAGUAGUUAAACCCUCGUUCUGGAAGGUGCUGGCGGUGCCCUGCCGUUAAACCCCCAACUUCUGAAAAUUUGACCUCGGAUCA
rnacentral:rRNA from 1 species